CAAUGGUGUCACUGUUUGGAGGCUGAUUAUGGGAUGGAUCCCCAGGUAUGGUGACAAAGAAGUUUUAAAUGGUGGAAUGAUAUGAUUGUAUUUGAAGCUUGCACAAUGGAGGCAGUUAGAGCCUGCAAAGCAGGGGAGAAAGUCUUAAGGAGCAACCCUAGUAGGCAACACAUUCCUAGAAUGGUAAACAAAAGUCCUAGGCCUAAUUUCUGUACUUUUUCACCCUGGUUGUCUAGGUAAAGCAGGUCUAUGCCUGCUUAUGGAGUGGUCUCAAGAAGCAAGAAGACUUCCUUCACAGGAUGUGAAGUUGUGCUGAUUCUGACACCUUGAUAGAAGUUAUGGUGGCCUGAGAAGAGGGAACCUUGAUUGAGAAUAAGACCUCCUAUCAGAUUGGUCUAUAGACAAGCCCAUGGGACAUUUUCUUGAGUCAUAAUUGAGAGCAACAGGCACCAAAAACGAUAGAAGUAAUGUUAGUAUAGCUUUGGUUUUCUUCAACUGACCUGGAAAAGGAAAACAUAAAGAGCUGAAGGUUGUGUUUGUUCAGUUCUCACAUAUAAACUGAGCGGUGGACUUACUCUUAAACAGCUACCUUCCUGAAAGAAUACAAAGGUAUGGAAGGGGCUUUGUGGGGAGGGAAACAGAUGAGAACAAACUGAUGAAACCCAUUACUCUGUUUACAAACUUAAGAAAUUCAUUAAAAUAUGAAAUCAACUAAAUACAGUCGAGAAAACCAGUAUGAAGGUACUCAUCUGAGUCACUUUUAAAAUUUCUUUGAUUAUUUAGCCCUGGCCUAAAGACAGAGAACAAGGGUCCACAUUUUUAUUGCUUUAGCCAUAUAGCUUAAUUUGCUGGCAGAAACACAAGUUUGCCUUGGAAUAGUAGAUAUAUAUAGUUUUACGACAUCCUACCUCUUAUAUCCUAUAUGAUUAUGAGCUCUAUGGACAGACAGCAAGAGACGAGGUUUCCCUAUAGAGUUUCCUAAACUGACUGGCUGAAGCCCCUGCUUCUCUAUUUCUCAUCAGUUCCCAGCCUGCUGGGGCUUGGGACCCAGCCUUUCAAUUUUUCAAGAAUAGGAAAACAUUUGUUGCCUGUUGCAAGCUUUGAUUUUAUUGAACAGAACAAAACAAGAGUUAGUGUGAGCCAAUGGCCAGGGUAGCCAAGUCUCUAGAGACACAUAUGUUUCUGGGAGAAGGUAGCUGCUCUAGGAAGCAGUGAGUUCACACAGCAUCUAGAGUGGAUGGAACAUGGGGAAAAAGAUAAGCAGAUGAAUAGGGAGUGUGAUAGUUUGAAUGAGAGUGGCCCACAUAGGGUUAUGCACUUGAAUACUUGGUCCCAAGUUGGAGGAAUUAUUUUGGAAGUAUUAACAGGUGUGGCAUUCAGAAGCCCACUCUAUUCCUAGUUAGCUCUCUCUGCUUCAGUUUUGUGGAUCAAGAUGUAAGCUCUUGGCUUCUGCUCUAGGGCUGUGUAUGCCUGUGGGUUUCUAUGCUCCCUACCAUAGUGGUCAUGGACUCACCUUCUAAAACUGUAAGCUCCAAUAAACUCUACUUCUAUAAGC